CCGCUGUUCUGCUUUUACAGGUGCUGUGGCAGCAGCUUUCCCGUGGUGACAGAGCCCGGCAGUCGGCAGGGGCAAGUAGAGCAGAAUCUUUCAGCAACUUGAGGAGAGGAGCAGUCGGAGCGCUGACCUAAGCCGCAGUGGAUGAGAGAAGGAGAGGCCGUUGUGUUCGUAAGUUCUUGCACAUCGGGCACCGUUGAGCUGUCUCUCGGUAAUGUCUUGCUUUCUGCUCUGUUCAGGUCACACCGGGGCUUUUCCUAGCGACGUCCAAGUCCUUCUGGUGCGCGGAUUGUGUUGCAUCUUGUGGGCUUGGUGCCAUCAGCCGCUCAAAGAGAGUGCGGCUGCCUUUGAAGAUGCGCUGUGAAGAGGGAUGGAGACCUAGAGUACUGCACACGCUUAGCUGAUGGCAAAGCGUUUUGGGGUGUCCUGACCGUGCAUGCUGCCGUUGAGGGAGGUGUCUUCUGGAUGAGCGCAGCGUGGGAGGCGGAGGCAGCACAGUGCACAUGUUGGAAAAUGAGAGCAGACAGCUCCCACCUGUCUGUGGUGAAAGCUUGGUUUCUGAAGCCUUCAGAAGAAGCUGCCUGCUUCAGACCAGGCAUGAGGGAGAUGCAAGCACAUCUGCAUGCCCAGCCAUAACGGUUUGUUUUCAGACUGUAAUAGAAGUGAUGCUGAUUUAGUAAAAUAAAAAUAGAUAUGCUGGAAAGUA